UACGGAGGGUGCAAGCGUUAUCCGGAUUCACUGGGUUUAAAGGGUGCGUAGGUGGGAAGGUAAGUCAGUGGUGAAAUCCCCGAGCUUAACUUGGGAACUGCCAUUGAUACUAUCUUUCUUGAAUACCUUGGAGGUGAGCAGAAUAUGUCAUGUAGCGGUGAAAUGCUUAGAUAUGACAUAGAACACCAAUUGCGAAGGCAGCUCACUACACGGUCAUUGACACUGAGGCACGAAAGCGUGGGGAUCAAACAGG
rnacentral:rRNA from 1 species